rnacentral:tRNA from 1 species
AGAGGUUAGUCCAACAAAGACUUCUAAUUUCGGCUUAGACAAUUAUGGUGAAACCCCAUAACCCCUU